rnacentral:rRNA from 1 species
AACGAACGCUGGCGGCAUGCCUAACACAUGCAAGUCGAACGAAGGCUUCGGCCUUAGUGGCGCACGGGUUCGUAACGCGUGGGAAUCUGCCCUUAGGUUCGGAAUAACAGUUAGAAAUGACUGCUAAUACCGGAUGAUGACGUAAGUCCAAAGAUUUAUCGCCUGAGGAUGAGCCCGCGUAGGAUUAGCUAGUUGGUGUGGUAAAGGCGCACCAAGGCGACGAUCCUUAGCUGGUCUGAGAGGAUGAUCAGCCACACUGGGACUGAGACACGGCCCAGACUCCUACGGGAGGCAGCAGUGGGGAAUAUUGGACAAUGGGCGCAAGCCUGAUCCAGCAAUGCCGCGUGAGUGAUGAAGGCCUUAGGGUUGUAAAGCUCUUUUACCCGUGAUGAUAAUGACAGUAGCGGGAGAAUAAGCCCCGGCUAACUCCGUG